rnacentral:rRNA from 1 species
GAGUUUGAUCGUGGCUCAGGACGAACGCUGGCGGCGUGCCUAAUACAUGCAAGUCGAGCGAGUCUGCCUUGAAGAUCGGAGUGCUUGCACUCUGUGAAACAAGAUACAGGCUAGCGGCGGGACGGGUGAGUAACACGUGGGUAACCUGCCCAAGAGAUCGGGAUAACACCUGGGAACAGAUGCUAAUACCGGAUAACAACAGAUGAUGCCUAUCAACUGUUUAAAAGAUGGUUCUGCUAUCACUCUUGGAUGGACCUGCGGUGCAUUAGCUAGUUGGUAGGGUAACGGCCUACCAAGGCGAUGAUGCAUAGCCGAGUUGAGAGACUGAUCGGCCACAUUGGGACUGAGACACGGCCCAAACUCCUACGGGAGGCAGCAGUAGGGAAUCUUCCACAAUGGACGCAAGUCUGAUGGAGCAACGCCGCGUGAGUGAAGAAGGGUUUCGGCUCGUAAAGCUCUGUUGUUGGUGAAGAAGGACA